UUUAUUCUUCUUAUUCAAGGUCUCUCUUUCUUCCCACUCCCGUUUUUUUUUUGGUUGGCAUUUUACAUUACAAAAGUUAAAAGUCUUUGUAUUUUCUUACUGGGUUGUUUUAUUACUCUUUUGUUUGGCGCUGUGGUGACACUUUCAGUUUGAACAUCAGAACCCAAAUGAUGAGGAUGAUCUUUCAGAAGUUACUGUAACGGAUGAUCCUCAGUCUCUGGAGAAUAAAAUCUCUGUAAUUCAAUGGUCCUUCCAAACUCCAGGUUCUUUUACUCUUUUUUUACUCAGCUUAAUAUUGUAGCUCCAUUGAUGUUUUAGAAUUUCGCUUUAAGUGAAAGCUUCGAUUUUUUGCUUGGGAUCAUUUUAAAGUAAUUGACUUUUUAAUAGUCAUAAGAAGAUGCAUUAAUGUAAUUUUAUUAUAUAUAUGAAUUAAUUAUGAUCUUUUAUUUUCAUAGAAAGUCUUCUCGAGGAUUACUGCAUUUAUCCUUUCAUGUUUCUUUUCUUUAUUUUGAACAUAUAGAAAUUUAUAUGUACAAUUUUCAUGGUUGAUCAAAUCGUGUGUGAUCUCUUUCUUUGCAUUUCAUUUAUAAUGGUGAUCUCAGUUUGAAUUUUCAUAUUUUGAAAAAUAAAACAUUGUUGGCUUUCCUUAUAAAUUUAGUAUUCAUUUCUUUGCAAAAAGAUAUGAAGCUCUCCAGGGGUUUCGGUAAUUUUGGGAAGUAAAAAUAAACAAAUUAAAGAUUAUAAUGAAGGAAUAGGCCUUGACCACAUGUGCACGAUCAUGAACUCGUGUUGCAAGAUCAAAAGAUGAUCUAAAUGUAUGUGCUGAAUUUAUUCUCUUUUAGGACAAAAUGUUGCAAAAAGAACUGCUUAUUUUGAAUAUCAGGUAUUUGCAGAUUUUGAUACGACCUUGACAUGGAAUUUCACCAACGGCAGUGAGCAAACCAUGGCCUUUUGAAGCAAGGAAAUCCAGAGUAUGAUACCAGGAGGCGUGCAUUAUUUGAAUACUAUCAUCCCCUAGAAUUGAAGAGAAAACUAAGCUCAUGGAAGAGUGGUGAGGGAAAACUUGUGCUCUUCUUGUUGAGGGAGGCCUAACAUUGGGUGCAAUAAAGACAUCUGUUGCUAAUGCCUCAAUCACUUGAAGAGACGGUGUUGCUAAAAGUCUUUGAACUUCUAGAGGAAAAUUGUGUUAGAAUGCCAAUGAAAGGGAGCCACCAUUAUUACACUGAAUUAUUCAGGAGUUUACCUAAAAAAUGAAACAGAGCAGACUCCCAAGCUGUACUCAUCAAGAAAUCCGAGAAAGAUGCAGCUUAGAAAAUGAAGCAGCUAGUGAUAACCACUAAUAUUUUCUCAGAAGCAGCAAAUAGACCUUGUUGAAAAGAUUCCUUUACCAUUCACAUAUUCUUGUACUCCUCACAGAGUACAUUUCUUUCAAGAAAGAAACAGCUCCACAAGCUUAUUUACCUUGUUGGAGGUUUUGUCUUCAUACAACAAAGCACCAUCUAAAUGACCAUUUUUUCUCUCUUCCAUUACCUUUCAGCCAUUAGAUUAGGUCAUGAAACUCCAGUAAAAGAGCAUAAGGAAGCAAUUACAUUUUUCAUGAACCCUGCCUUCUCUAACAUAUCUUUGCUCUUUAUAAUAAGUUGUAUACAGUCUCAUACCAGUCUAAGGAGGCUCUUUUUUCAUGAACCCUGUCUUCUCUAGCAUAUCUUUGCUCUCUAUAAUAAUUUGUAUACAGUCUCAUACCAGUCUAUGGAGGCUCUUUUUUCAUGUACCCUGCCUUCUUUGCCACAAUGGCUUCAGAUUACUGGCAGUUUGAAUCUAUGGAGGCUCUUUAAGGUAUGUCAGGGAAGAUAAAGCAUGGAACAACGAAUUUUUGUAGAGACAAAAAAUCAUGUUAGAAAAUCAUUUAUAACAGAGACUUUAGCCUACUGUAGUUAUGAAGAAAAAAAGAAAGGAACCCAGAAGUCCUCUCUGUUGAUUAUAUGUCUUCUGCCUUUUCUUUUCAAUGACUUAAUUUAUUAUAUAACUAUAUUUGUAGAAACAAAAAUGAAAAAUAUUUAAAUUGAAGAUUUACCUUUUGUUAAUGAAAAUGAACUAGUGAGAAAGAAAUGAAACUGCUCCUCUAGUUGGUUUGGUGGUAUUCCAGGGAAGGCCAAAUCCAAAACAA